rnacentral:lncRNA from 1 species
CUAUAUUUGUAAGAUUUAUUAAUUUGUUGCCAGAGAUUGAGGUUACUCAUUCUCAUUACUUAUAUUAUUCCAUUGUGUGAAAAUUUUACUGUAAAGAAAGAGACAUUUGAGUUAUUUUUAGAUUUGAUUCUUACAAUGCUGCUGUGAAUAUGGCUUUUCUUGAAAAUAUACAUGUAUUUUUGUUGUUUAUAACUAGGAAUGAAAUUGUAGGGUCAUAACAUAUGCCAAACAAAGUAGUUGUACAUAUUUAUAUCCCAGCAGGAAUAUUAAUGCUUGGUACUGUCUUUUCAUUUUAGCCAUAUGGUGGAUGUAUAAUGGUAUUGUGUGUGUUUUAUUUGCAUUUCACUGAGUAAUUAAGUUGAUCACUUUUUAUUUAGAUUUGUUUUUUGAAUACCUAUUUUGCCACGUUUAUAAUUAGUUUCUGUCCUUUUUUUUUUUCUUGAUUUGUAGAGUUGUUUAUAUGUUUUGCUCUGAGGACAUUUUUAGUCCAUCUAUUACUUUACUCCCAGCUUUUCUAUCUCCUCUGAUCUUUAUUGACCUCUUAACUGCCUGUAAGUUUAGGAUUAGGCUUUGGAGUGGUUUUAUUUUACUUUCUAGGUAAUUGUAUCUUGUUAUCUCCUUGCAAGGAGCACUUCAAUUUCCCAAACCUGUUGUGAUCUCCCAGCUUGAACAAGGUCAGGAGUCGUAUAUUCUUGAUCCACAGGGAGCUGGGUUAAGAGUGGCCCCAAGAAGCUCCUGCAUAGAUCCAGGUAUUAGAACCAAGAUUGGGGAUGAAAAAUCAGCUGAAAAACUUGAAAAACUAAUGUUUGAAAAUAAGGAGGCACACUGGGUCAUGAAAAGUACCCAGAAGAAUCAGUGUGGAAAAUCCAUAGGAGAAACACUGAAAAAUAAGAAUGAAAAUUCUAGGAAGGUGAAUGACAAAGCUAAGAAAAUUAUGAUGGAUGUGUCAGAACUAAAAGAAGACUAUUAAUACCUCUCCCCGGUGCUGGAUCCUGGGCAUGUGUAUGGGUCAGCUUUCAUCAGCUGAGACCAAAAUACCUGACAGGAGGAGGAAAGGUUUAUUUGGCUUGGUUUCACUCCAUGGACAGAGAGCUUCAUUGCUCUGAGCUUGAGGUAAGGCAGAUUAUCAUGGCAGAACGGGCA